AUUGAACGCUGGCGGCAGGCCUAACACAUGCAAGUCGAACGGUAACAGGAAGCAGCUUGCUGCUUUGCUGACGAGUGGCGGACGGGUGAGUAAUGUCUGGGAAACUGCCUGAUGGAGGGGGAUAACUACUGGAAACGGUAGCUAAUACCGCAUAACGUCGCAAGACCAAAGAGGGGGACCUUAGGGCCUCUUGCCAUCGGAUGUGCCCAGAUGGGAUUAGCUAGUAGGUGGGGUAACGGCUCACCUAGGCGACGAUCCCUAGCUGGGCUGAGAGGAUGACCAGCCACACUGGAACUGAGACACGGUCCAGACUCCUACGGGAGGCAGCAGUGGGGAAUAUUGCACAAUGGGCGCAAGCCUGAUGCAGCCAUGCCGCGUGUAUGAAGAAGGCCUUCGGGUUGUAAAGUACUUUCAGCGGGGAGGAAGGGAGUAAAGUUAAUACCUUGGCUCAUUGACGUUACCCGCAGAAGAAGCACCGGCUAACUCCGUG
rnacentral:rRNA from 1 species